GUUGGCACACUACCAAAAAUAUUUGUCUUGUUUUGUCUUGGUUAGUAACAUUUUACUUAAUUCGUGGACACAUGUGCUUGCAUGAAGAAAUUUCAAGAAGAAAUAAGAAUGAAUAAGAAAAAACGAAAGAGAUCAUUCGAAGACCAUUUUCUUGUAAAUUCUUAUAACAGGAGAAAUGUCCUUACUUUUCUUAAGCUAAGAAAUAAUUUGUCAAAAAGACUUUUUCCCCUUAGAAUUUUCAAGAAAUGUAAGUCAAAUAUUCUUGGUAUUCUUGUAUGAAGACUGAAAUUCUUGCCAUAUUUAAGAAAGUACAAGAAUUUUUCCCUACCCCCUCUUGAUUUUCUUAUAGUAAGAAAAAAACAAGAACAUCAAGAUAUAAAAUACAAGUAGUUCCUGGAACAAAAGUCUUGAAUUUUCUUGUUUCACAUAUCAAGAAACAUCAAGAAACUCUAUUCUUGCUUUUUGGGGAAUGUUCAAGAAAAAACAAGAAUUUCGUUCUUACAUUUCCUCAGGUAUAAGCUUUUCUGCUCAGAAAAACAAGAACAUUCAAGAUAAUUUAAGUACAAGAUAAAGUGCAAGGAAUUACUGGAAUAAAAAUCUUGAAUGUUCUUGUCUUUUGUAUCCAGAAACUUUGAUAAACGCAUUUUUUUUCCUAAGUGAAGAAAGUUUUUCUCAUAUAACAUUAGCCAUGUUAGCGUUCACGAGUGUUCUAGAAAUCUGGAGGAUUUGCAUAAUCUAUCUUAAUUUUAGAUAAUUAAGAACUCGGGUACAAGAGUAUGGUCCUUGACUUACUUGACUGAAUACUAUAAUAACAAAACAGGAAAUUACAGAACAAGCUUUGACUAGCAUAAGACUCUUGAAUGUUCGUGAUUGUUGUUUUUAUUUAAAAAAUCUAAUAAAAACUAGUGCAUAUAGAAACUUUUCCAUUGACCUUCUUGGCAGACACUGUUUAUCAUAAUACAUGUGUCUAUCAAGAUGUAAAGAACAAUUAGUUGGAACCAGCAUAGUUUUUGUCUAUUUUCUCAAUAUCAGAUCAGAGUUUAAGAAAUUAAUUCUAUAUUUUUCUGGUAAUAAGACAACAAUUUUGCUAAGGAUCAUGGGAAAUUACUCCCAUCAUCCUUUGCUGCAAAUUUCAAAUUCUAGACAGUUGCAGCUUGCAUGCAAACUGCCUCUCCUGGUUUAUUUGUCUGAUGUGCAUUAGAUCUUACAAAUACAGGGCACAGAUAUGGUAGAUUUUCUUUAGGACACUUGCCUGUAUCACCUGGGACCCUGUUUUCAACAUGGCCUCGCAUUUCUAAGCUCCAAAAUGCAACCAAAGCCGAAGUCAAGCUUGGAACAUUAUCUAUUCAGGCGUGGAAACCAGUUGGACCAAAGAGGAUGCCCCCAUCUCAACUUUGGAAAAGCUUUCAACAAGAACAAGUGACAUGUAUUAUGAUUAUGAUACCAUCACCAACAACAUUACAGCAGUAAUGGUGCUGUUUUAGAAGGACAAUAAUUAAGUUAUUAGUAUGCUCAGUAUCAGGAAAAUGGAUUUUUAUAAGCAAGCAUCAUAUAUAAUCUAAAUCUGUUGGUAUCUGCAAUAAUGUUGCAAUCUUUAAAAUAAUGGUUCAUAGGGAAAAAAUGCCC